rfam:Magnetovibrio blakemorei strain MV-1 Q2, whole genome shotgun sequence.
GCGGUCGUGGCGGAAUUGGUAGACGCGCAGCGUUGAGGUCGCUGUGAACGCAAGUUCGUGGAAGUUCGAGUCUUCUCGACCGCA